GUGAGUAGUUCUAGAGUUUGUAUCCUGGCGUCAGGAUUAACGCUGGCGGCGUGCAUAACACAUUCAAGUCGAACGGUGAUUCCUUCGGGAAUGAUCAGUGGCGGACGGGUGAGUAACGCGUGAGCAACCUGCCCUUGUGUGGGGGACAACAGUUGGAAACGACUGCUAAUACCGCAUAACACAUACUGAUCGCAUGUUUGGUAUGUCAAAGAUUUAUUGCGCAAGGAUGGGCUCGCGUCCGAUUAGAUAGUUGGUGAGGUAACGGCUCACCAAGUCGACGAUCGGUAGCCGGACUGAGAGGUUGAACGGCCACAUUGGAACUGAGAAACGGUCCAG
rnacentral:rRNA from 1 species